UACGGGGGGGGCAAGCGUUGUUCGGAAUUACUGGGCGUAAAGGGCUCGUAGGCGGCCAAUUAAGUCAGACGUGAAAUCCCUCGGCUUAACCGGGGAACUGCGUCUGAUACUGGAUGGCUUGAAUCCGGGAGAGGGAUGCGGAAUUCCAGGUGUAGCGGUGAAAUGCGUAGAUAUCAGGAAGAACACCAGUGGCGAAGGCGACUUCCUGGCCUGUUCUUGACGCUGAGGCGCGAAAGCUAGGGGAGCAAACGGG
rnacentral:rRNA from 1 species